GACGGCAUAGCUCAUUGGCAGAGUAUGUGUUUAGCAUGCACAAGGUCCUGGGUUCAAUCUCUGGUACCUUCA
rfam:Camelus ferus unplaced genomic scaffold scaffold978, whole genome shotgun sequence.